CUCUCUCUCUCUCUCUCCUGCUAGCUCUAAGUAAUCCCUGCUGCCCUGCUGGGCAGUUUAGAGGAGCGAACCAGAGAGAGGAACCGUCUCGGACCUAACAAUAGAAAUAAGCAAGCUCUCCUUUAUUCUGCAGUGAAGUCAAUCAAUCAGGCACUGAAGAGCUCAUUUUCUGGAUAUGGAAAUGGCCAGAUCCCAAAGUUUUAAGAAAGAAAAAUCAGUUUGCAAACAAAAUACUGGGACUAAGUAUAAGGGUAGAUGUCUCAAAAGUAGCAAAACAAACUGUAAGACCAAAAUCCAAACUGGAAGAGCACUAAAGGGAAGCUCAAGAUUACAGCCAGACAGAGCAAGCAGUUCAUAAUCCAGAAGGAAGAUGAAUGACUCUGGAAAGGAAAUCUCCAGAAGAAAAGCACAACUGAGUUUCACAUACUCAAACUCA